rnacentral:rRNA from 1 species
GAUGAACGCUGACGGCGUGCCUAAUACAUGCAAGUCGAGCGAACAGACGAGGAGCUUGCUCCUCUGACGUUAGCGGCGGACGGGUGAGUAACACGUGGAUAACCUACCUAUAAGACUGGGAUAACUUCGGGAAACCGGAGCUAAUACCGGAUAAUAUAUUGAACCGCAUGGUUCAAUAGUGAAAGACGGUUUUGCUGUCACUUAUAGAUGGAUCCGCGCCGCAUUAGCUAGUUGGUAAGGUAACGGCUUACCAAGGCAAUGAUGCGUAGCCGACCUGAGAGGGUGAUCGGCCACACUGGAACUGAGACACGGUCCAGACUCCUACGGGAGGCAGCAGUAGGGAAUCUUCCGCAAUGGGCGAAAGCCUGACGGAGCAACGCCGCGUGAGUGAUGAAGGUCUUCGGAUCGUAAAACUCUGUUAUUAGGGAAGAACAAAUGUGUAAGUAACUAUGCACGUCUUGACGGUACCUAAUCAGAAAGCCACGGCUAACUACGUG